GACAGAGGUGCCGAGCGUUAGGCGGAAUCACUGGGCUUAAAGCGUGUGUAGGCGGGUCGUUAAGUGUCUUGUGAAAUCCCCCGGCUCAACCGGGGAAUGGCUGGGCAUACUGGCGAUCUUGAGCAGUCUAGGGGCAGAUGGAACAAGUGGUGGAGCGGUGAAAUGCGUAGAUAUCACUUGGAACGCCAACGGUGAAGACAGUCUGCUGGGGACUUGCUGACGCUGAGACACGAAAGCCAGGGGGGCGAACGGG
rnacentral:rRNA from 1 species